CGCCGUUGCUCCCAAUCGCCACGAUUUUUCUUUUUCCCGCGCCCUCCUCCUGCCUUCGCACCUCUAUCGGUCGAUUUGGUGCGCGUGUUGCGGCGGAGAGCCGGCGACCUCUGCUGCUUGCCGCUACGCUAUCCUCCACUGCGACAUGAAUCCCAGAAACAGCGCGUCUCUAACGGAUGGAACAAGGUCGCCGACGACAGGAAAUCACUCCGCGGCGGACGGAGAUGUAGAGGUACGUGAAUCGAGUUCCGUGUAAACUCCAGUUCUUGGCUGCAUCUUCCUUGUGUGCGAACCCUAGUUCUUUUCAGCAUCUUGAUCUUGAUUGCAAAUCAGAAUGCAUCUUGAAUCAGACUGAAGCUUGAGUGUGAACUCUAUUUCUUGAUCUCUGAUGUAGAUGUAGACUGAAGUUUGGUUUACUAGGCAUAAUUUGGAUGCACAGUCCAAUCAACCCUAGUUCUUGCAUAACCUGCAUUGAAGUUUUCAUUAUUAAUUAAUCUGUACUGAGAAGGAAGGCAAGAAAAAACACAUCAUGUUGCUGUUUUUUUUUAUAAUAGAGAGUGUCUUUUAUAAUAUGUACUAAUAAGGAAGGCAAGAAAAACAUAUGAACACAUUACGUAUGUAGGAUAAAAAACUAUCAAAUGAUCACCACAUUCAUUGACUAGUCAUUUUCAAAAUACCUGUGGUCACCCUUAACACAUGUUGAAUAUAUAAAAAAUAAAUGGAGCAUCUGCAAUGAGGAGAAAGGAAGAAUGAGAGUUGAUGAUUUAUGCAAUGAGGAGCAUCUGUACGAUAGUAUUUCAGAUAAUGAUUUGCAGUUUGCAACUAGGAGAGCG
rnacentral:lncRNA from 1 species